rfam:Trichinella nativa scaffold167s, whole genome shotgun sequence.
UGCCGGAUAGCUCAGUUGGUUAGAGUGUGGUGCUAAUAACGCUAAGCUUGUGGGUUCGACUCCCACUCUGGCCG